GAUGAACGCUGGCGGCGUGCCUAAUACAUGCAAGUCGAGCGAACGGACGAGAAGCUUGCUUCUCUGAUGUUAGCGGCGGACGGGUGAGUAACACGUGGAUAACCUACCUAUAAGACUGGGAUAACUUCGGGAAACCGGAGCUAAUACCGGAUGAUAUUUUGAACCGCAUGGUUCAAAAGUGAAAGACGGUCUUGCUGUCACUUAUAGAUGGAUCCGCGCUGCAUUAGCUAGUUGGUAAGGUAACGGCUUACCAAGGCAACGAUGCAUAGCCGACCUGAGAGGGUGAUCGGCCACACUGGAACUGAGACACGGUCCAGACUCCUACGGGAGGCAGCAGUAGGGAAUCUUCCGCAAUGGGCGAAAGCCUGACGGAGCAACGCCGCGUGAGUGAUGAAGGUCUUCGGAUCGUAAAACUCUGUUAUUAGGGAAGAACAUAUGUGUAAGUAACUGUGCACAUCUUGACGGUACCUAAUCAGAAAGCCACGGCUAACUACGUGCCAGCAGCCGCGGUAAUACGUAGGUGGCAAGCGUUAUCCGGAAUUAUUGGGCGUAAAGCGCGCGUAGGCGGUUUUUUAAGUCUGAUGUGAAAGCCCACGGCUCAACCGUGGAGGGUCAUUGGAAACUGGAAAACUUGAGUGCAGAAGAGGAAAGUGGAAUUCCAUGUGUAGCGGUGAAAUGCGCAGAGAUAUGGAGGAACACCAGUGGCGAAGGCGACUUUCUGGUCUGUAACUGACGCUGAUGUGCGAAAGCGUGGGGAUCAAACAGGAUUAGAUACCCUGGUAGUCCACGCCGUAAACGAUGAGUGCUAAGUGUUAGGGGGUUUCCGCCCCUUAGUGCUGCAGCUAACGCAUUAAGCACUCCGCCUGGGGAGUACGACCGCAAGGUUGAAACUCAAAGGAAUUGACGGGGACCCGCACAAGCGGUGGAGCAUGUGGUUUAAUUCGAAGCAACGCGAAGAACCUUACCAAAUCUUGACAUCCUUUGACGACUCUAGAGAUAGAGCCUUCCCCUUCGGGGGACAAAGUGACAGGUGGUGCAUGGUUGUCGUCAGCUCGUGUCGUGAGAUGUUGGGUUAAGUCCCGCAACGAGCGCAACCCUUAAGCUUAGUUGCCAUCAUUAAGUUGGGCACUCUAAGUUGACUGCCGGUGACAAACCGGAGGAAGGUGGGGAUGACGUCAAAUCAUCAUGCCCCUUAUGAUUUGGGCUACACACGUGCUACAAUGGACAAUACAAAGGGCAGCGAAACCGCGAGGUCAAGCAAAUCCCAUAAAGUUGUUCUCAGUUCGGAUUGUAGUCUGCAACUCGACUACAUGAAGCUGGAAUCGCUAGUAAUCGUAGAUCAGCAUGCUACGGUGAAUACGUUCCCGGGUCU
rnacentral:rRNA from 1 species